rnacentral:rRNA from 1 species
UACGAAGGGGGCUAGCGUUGCUCGGAAUCACUGGGCGUAAAGCGCACGUAGGCGGACUCUUAAGUCGGUGGUGAAAUCCUGGAGCUCAACUCCAGAACUGCCUUCGAUACUGAGAGUCUCGAGUCCGGGAGAGGUGAGUGGAACUGCGAGUGUAGAGGUGAAAUUCGUAGAUAUUCGCAAGAACACCAGUGGCGAAGGCGGCUCACUGGCCCGGUACUGACGCUGAGGUGCGAAAGCGUGGGGAGCAAAGCAGGG